GCCUCGAUAGCUCAGUUGGUAGAGCGAGCGAUUCGUAAUCGCUAGGUCCACGGUUCGAAUCCGUGUCGAGGCUCCA
rnacentral:tRNA from 1 species